AUGCAGAUAUAAACUUUCAGGACACCAUUAAUGACUUCUUGGAGCAGCUUGUCCUGGAAGCCACAAGAGAAGAGGAAAUUCUUGAUUUAGUUCUAAGUGGAGCACAGAAUCUGGUUCAAGAGAUGUGUGGUUGCCACUCAGACAUUUGACGGCUGACAUAAAUCAUCCCACGAUCAAAGUGUCUGUCGACUUGAGAGUCUGAAUUUGCAGCAGAUGCCUCCACAGAGUGACAAGGAAAUUCUUCAUAAUCAGCAAAGGCACAGCUAGUGUCAGAAGAAACUGUUCUGGGUGAUAACGGUUGGAUUGGCACUGUUGGACAUUGUGUGGGUGAUUGCAUAUGUGAUAUUCAGG